AAACCAACAGGGAUUGCCUCAGUAGCGGCGAGUGAAGCGGCAAGAGCUCAGAUUUGAAAUCUCACCUAGUGUGCGAGUUGUAAAUUGCAGGUUGGAGUCUCGGGUUAGACGUGUGUGCAAGUCCCUUGGAACAGGGCGCCACUGAGGGUGAGAGCCCCGUAGCGUGCAUGUCGACACCUGUGAGGCCCUUCUGACGAGUCGAGUUGUUUGGGAAUGCAGCUCUAAGUGGGUGGUAAAUUCCAUCUAAGGCUAAAUAUUGGCGAGAGACCGAUAGCGAACAAGUACUGUGAAGGAAAGAUGAAAAGCACUUUGAAAAGAGAGUGAAACAGCACGUGAAAUUGUUGAAAGGGAAGGGUAUUGGGCUCGACAUGGGAUUUACGCAUCGUUGCCUCUCGUGGGCGGCGCUCUGGGUUUUUCCUGGGCCAGCAUCGGUUUUCGUUGCAGGAUAAGGACAAUUGGAAUGUGGCUCCUCGGAGUGUUAUAGCCUUUUGUAGAUGCUGCGUAUGGGGACCGAGGGCUGCGGCGGACUUGUUUCGUCUCGGAUGCUGGCACAACGGCGCAAUACC
rnacentral:rRNA from 1 species